ACAGCAGUCGCCGCGGUAAUACGUAGGGUGCAAGCGUUAAUCGGAAUUACUGGGCGUAAAGCGUGCGCAGGCGGUUAUAUAAGACAGAUGUGAAAUCCCCGGGCUCAACCUGGGAACUGCAUUUGUGACUGUAUAGCUAGAGUACGGCAGAGGGGGAUGGAAUUCCGCGUGUAGCAGUGAAAUGCGUAGAUAUGCGGAGGAACACCGAUGGCGAAGGCAAUCCCCUGGGCCUGUACUGACGCUCAUGCACGAAAGCGUGGGGAGCAAACAGGAUUAGAUACCCCCGUAGUCCCUGUCUCUUAUAA
rnacentral:rRNA from 1 species